GAUGAACGCUAGCUACAGGCUUAACACAUGCAAGUCGAGGGGCAGCAUGAACUUAGCUUGCUAAGUUUGAUGGCGACCGGCGCACGGGUGAGUAACACGUAUCCAACCUGCCGAUGACUCGGGGAUAGCCUUUCGAAAGAAAGAUUAAUACCCGAUGGCAUAGUUCUUCCGCAUGGUGGCACUAUUAAAGAAUUUCGGUCAUCGAUGGGGAUGCGUUCCAUUAGGUUGUUGGCGGGGUAACGGCCCACCAAGCCUUCGAUGGAUAGGGGUUCUGAGAGGAAGGUCCCCCACAUUGGAACUGAGACACGGUCCAAACUCCUACGGGAGGCAGCAGUGAGGAAUAUUGGUCAAUGGACGAGAGUCUGAACCAGCCAAGUAGCGUGAAGGAUGACUGCCCUAUGGGUUGUAAACUUCUUUUAUACGGGAAUAAAGUGAGGCACGUGUGCCUUUUUGUAUGUACCGUAUGAAUAAGGAUCGGC
rnacentral:rRNA from 1 species